AACGCGAAGAACCUUACCUAGUCUUGACAUCCACGGAAGUUUUCAGAGAUGAGAAUGUGCCUUCGGGAACCGUGAGACAGGUGCUGCAUGGCUGUCGUCAGCUCGUGUUGUGAAAUGUUGGGUUAAGUCCCGCAACGAGCGCAACCCUUAUCCUUUGUUGCCAGCGGUCCGGCCGGGAACUCAAAGGAGACUGCCAGUGAUAAACUGGAGGAAGGUGGGGAUGACGUCAAGUCAUCAUGGCCCUUACGACCAGGGCUACACACGUGCUACAAUGGCGCAUACAAAGAGAAGCGACCUCGCGAGAGCAAGCGGACCUCAUAAAGUGCGUCGUAGUCCGGAUUGGAGUCUACAACUCGACUCCAUGAAGUCGGAAUCGCUAGUAAUCGUGGAUCAGAAUGCCACGGUGAAUACGUUCCCGGGUCUUGUACACACCG
rnacentral:rRNA from 1 species